rnacentral:rRNA from 1 species
GUCCACGCCGUAAACGAUGAGUACUAGUUGUCGGGGGUAUCGACCCCCUCGGUAACGAAGCUAACGCGAUAAGUACUCCGCCUGGGGACUACGACCGCAAGGUUAAAACUCAAAGGAAUUGACGGGGGCCCGCACAAGCAGCGGAGCGUGCGGUUUAAUUCGAAGCAACGCGAAGAACCUUACCAGGGCUUGACAUGGCGGGGACAGCCCGGUGAAAGUCGGUCUCCCUUCGGGGUCCCGUCACAGAUGCUGCAUGGCCGUCGU